rnacentral:misc_RNA from 1 species
UUUAUAUUCGCCCCCUCUCUCAAAGAAGACCGCCACCCCUCCCUUUUACCCCUUUCUCCCAUCGCCUCUUCCUUUUCCGGCGACGGACAACGGCUUCGGCAAGACUCACCACCACUAGCUGGUGGCAGCCGGUCCUCUCUUCUUCUUUGUCCUUUCUGCCUUCUCUUUCCGGUGACCCAUCUUCCUCUCUCCCUCCAAUCUUUCCGGCGCCUCUCUCCUCUUCCUCUCCCCUCUCCCGUAGUCCUCCUUCUCCCCCUUUCUCUCCUUUUCUCCUCUCUCCCCUCCCGUCUCUUCUCUUCCCUUUUCUCUAUUCCUUUCCCUUAUCCUCUUUGCAGGAUCAGCCCAGCAGCGAUGGACCCCGCGAGGAGAGCAGCAAGCAGUCGCGGGCGAAAAACCAGCAGUUGCGAUCAUCAGUGGGAGCAAGCAGCAGCUCCGGCCAGCGUGAACAGCUACCAGAAACAAGGAAAUAAGGCGCGGUUCAAAGGUUUCAGGUUCCUUGAAGGUUUGAAUUUAAGAUUCAAGAUUUGAAAGAGUCGCCAAGAGAAGGAAGAUUAAAGAAGACUAUUUUAUUUGGCAUAUGUCCUUAUGUAUAAUUGUUAUUUUUAAAUAAUUUAUAACUCUCUAACUAUAACUCUCAAUAUUUAAAAUAUAUAUAAAAUAAAAUAUUUGGG